rnacentral:rRNA from 1 species
GGGGCUUAACCCUGAGCGUGCUUUCGAUACGGGUUGACUUGAGGAAGGUAGGGGAGAAUGGAAUUCCUGGUGGAGCGGUGGAAUGCGCAGAUAUCAGGAGGAACACCAGUGGCGAAGGCGGUUCUCUGGGCCUUUCCUGACGCUGAGGAGCGAAAGCGUGGGGAGCGAACAGGCUUAGAUACCCUGGUAGUCCACGCUGUAAACGGUGGGUACUAGGUGUGGGGUCCAUUCCACGGGUUCCGUGCCGUAGCUAACGCUUUAAGUACCCCGCCUGGGGAGUACGGCCGCAAGGCUAAAACUCAAAGGAAUUGACGGGGCCCCGCACAAGCGGCGGAGCAUGCGGAUUAAUUCGAUGCAACGCGUAGAACCUUACCUGGGUUUGACAUGGAUCGGGAGUGCUCAGAGAUGGGUGUGCCUCUUUUGGGGUCGGUUCACAGGUGGUGCAUGGCUGUCGUCAGCUCGUGUCGUGAGAUGUUGGGUUAAGUCCCGCAACGAGCGCAACCCUUGUUCACUGUUGCCAGCACGUUAUGGUGGGGACUCAGUGGAGACCGCCGGGGUCAACUCGGAGGAAGGUGGGGAUGACGUCAAGUCAUCAUGCCCCUUAUGUCCAGGGCUUCACGCAUGCUACAAUGGCUGGUACAGAGAGUGGCGAGCCUGUGAGGGUGAGCGAAUCUCGGAAAGCCGGUCUCAGUUCGGAUUGGGGUCUGCAACUCGACCUCAUGAAGUCGGAGUCGCUAGUAAUCGCAGAUCAGCAACGCUGCGGUGAAUACGUUCCCGGGGCUUGUACACACCGCCCGUCAAGUCAUGAAAGUUGGUAACACCCGAAGCCGGUGGCCUAACCGUUGUGGGGGAGCCGUCGAAAGGUGGGACUGGUGAUUAGGACUAAGUCGUAACAAGG